rnacentral:rRNA from 1 species
UACGGAGGGGGCUAGCGUUGUUCGGAAUUACUGGGCGUAAAGCGCGCGCAGGCGGCCGAGCAAGUCGGAUGUGAAAACCCGGGGCUCAACCCCGGGCCUGCAUUCGAUACUGCCGGGCUCGAGGCAGGCAGGGGAGAUUGGAAUUCCCGGUGUAGCGGUGAAAUGCGCAGAUAUCGGGAGGAACACCGGUGGCGAAGGCGGAUCUCUGGGCCUGUCCUGACGCUCAGGCGCGAAAGCUGGGGGAGCGAACAGGAUUAGAAACCCUGGUAGU